rnacentral:lncRNA from 1 species
CGGGGGCUACAGAAUAUUAGAGUGCUGAAGAAUGGUGGCUUCAAGCUCUAUGGUGCUGGAGGGGAGUCCAUCCAAGCAGAGGCUGUAGGGACAUAUAUGUUGAAGUUACCUUAUGAAAAGAUCUUAGAGCUAGAAAACUAUCAUUAUAUGCCUAAAAUCAUUAGAAAUAUUAUUUUUGUACCAUUGCUAUUGCAACGAGGUUAUGAAAUUAAUGGAAAG